ACGGUGGAGCGUGGAGUCAACACUGUGACCGGGGCAGUAGGGAGAUUCCCUUUCGCGUGCCACCAGCAGCUGGCUCUGGGUGGUGGAGUCGCUAAUGGUGGGAUUAGCGGGGUGACCCAGUCGCGGCCGGUUCUAUUUAUCGAAGCGUUGGGAGGAGCUGGCGUUGUUGGUCAGGUUUAUCCGGUUCGGUUCGAUCCGGUGGGAGUGCAGUUGGGUAUGGGAUUUGCAAGUGUUGUCCGAAGUGAACCGGACUCUUCAUCGGCCAUUCAUUGCAAGGCAAGGAGACCUGGCCUUGUCCUCGAUCUUAACCUUCCUCCUCCAGUCGAUGCUUGAUGUUUUGCAUUUUUUUUUUCUUUUUUUCUUUUUUUUUUUUUACGGGAAAC
rnacentral:lncRNA from 1 species